rnacentral:snRNA from 1 species
GUACUCGCUUCGGCGGUACAUAUACUAAAAUUGGAACGAUACAGAGAAGAUUAGCAUGGCCCCUGCGCAAGGAUGACACACAAAAUUAAAAAAAAAAAAAAAAAAAA